CAUGGCGGGUGCUAGAAUGCAAGUCGAGCGACUAUUUCAGGGUAGCAAUAUUCUGGAGUGGGAGCGGCGCAAGGGGGCGUAACACGUGGGUAAUCUGCCGUGAAGUCUGGAAUAACUUGCUGAAAGGCGAGCUAAUACCGGAUGUGGCCAUUGGGAGGCAUCUUCUGAUGGCUGAAGUUGGGGACCGUAAGGCCUGACGCUUCAUGAUGAACCCGCGGCCUAUCAGCUAGUUGGUGAGGUAACGGCCCACCAAGGCUAAGACGGGUAGCUGGUCUGAGAGGACGACCAGCCACACUGGAACUGAGACACGGUCCAGACACCUACGGGUGGCAGCAGUCGAGAAUUUUUCACAAUGGGCGCAAGCCUGAUGGAGCGACGCCGCGUGGGGGAUGAAUGGCUUCGGCCCGUAAACCCCUGUCAUUCGCGGUCAAACCUUGUUAUUUAAAAGAUGACGAGCUGAUAGUAGCGGAAGAGGAAGGGACGGCUAACUCUGUGCCAGCAGCCGCGGUAAUACAGAGGUCCCGAGCGUUGUUCGGAUUCACUGGGCGUAAAGGGUGCGUAGGUGGUGAGGUAAGUCGGAUGUGAAAUCUCGGAGCUUAACUCCGAAAUGGCAUUGGAAACUACCUUGCUUGAGGAUUGGAGGGGGGACUGGAAUACUUGGUGUAGCAGUGAAAUGCGUAGAUAUCAAGUGGAACACCAGUGGCGAAGGCGAGUCCCUGGACAAUUCCUGACACUGAGGCACGAAAGCUAGGGGAGCAAACAGGAUUAGAUAC
rnacentral:rRNA from 1 species